AUUGAACGCUGCGGCAGGCUUAACACAUGCAAGUCGAGCGAGCGGCGGACGGGUGAGUAAUGCUUAGGACUCUGCCUAUUAGUGGGGGACAACAUCUCGAAAGGGAUGCUAAUACCGCAUCCUACUCGAUGAGCCUAGUCGGAUUAGCUCGUUGGUGGGGUAAAGGCCUAACAAGGCGACGAGCGGUAGCGGGUCUGAGAGGCUGAUCCGCCACACUGGGAAUGAGACACGGCCCAGACUCCUACGGGAGGCAGCAGUGGGGAAUAUGGACAAUGGGGGGAACCCGGAUCCAGCCAUGCCGCGGGUGUGAAGAAGGCCUGCGGGUUGUAAAGCACUUGCAGCGGGGAGGCGUUACCCGCAGAAGAAGCACCGGCUAACUCCGUGCCAGCAGCCGCGGUAAUAC
rnacentral:rRNA from 1 species